UGGAUCGUCUCGCUGAGUCUCCGUAUGGAGAACGGGGGAACCAAUAAAUGCCCUGCCGCAUGCCCGUACAUAGAGUACAACACAGAAUUGCCGCAGAAUUUAUUUGAUUUCUUCACGUGGUCUUUGGGGUGAAUUUGAGGGCAACCGCCGUGAGCGGGUGACCUGAGAUAGGGCGUCUCUCUUAUGCCCGAACCCGACAGCUAACCCCGUAAGCGCAAGUAAGAGAGGAA
rfam:Paenibacillus sp. FSL R5-0912, complete genome.